UGACAGCCCUGGGCACUGGAGUCCUCAUUUAUCCACAGGACUGGGACUCUGACAUGGCAAGCUUCCCCUCCCCCUCCCCCCGCCACACAGCUCCAUACCAUCAGUAUGCUUCACCCUGUCCUGUGGAGUCAACCGCUAAUGUGACAGGUGAGUUCAGCCUCCAUGGCCCAUGUUGUCCUUGGCUUCU
rnacentral:sRNA from 1 species